GGUGCUAUGAUGAGAUAAAAACACCAAGGAAGUGUUUAUGGGCAGUGGUUUUGCCGUGAGCCUUAUUUCAAAACGACUUCUCCUUCCACUGAGCACU